AAUCCACCAAAUCAAUCUAUGAUUUGGGGUGAAAUCAUCUAAAUAGAAUGCUAGGGUACCACUAAAUCCAUUUCUAGGGUUUAUAAACCCAUCUACAAGGAAAUCACCAUGAGAAGCCAUGAAACUCACCUCUCCAAGAGCUCCAAGGAGAAGAAGAAGACGAAGAGGAUGACGAUGGCGACGAUUUCCUGCAUCUCCUCCAUCUUCUCCUUCUUUUUCUCCUCUCUUUUCCUUUCUCUCCUUUCUUUCUUCCCCUUUUUCCUUCUUUCCCUGCUUCGCACGAUCAGAGAGAGGGAGAGAGAGAAAGAGGCUGAGGGAGUGAGAGAGAGAGAGAGAAAUAUCCCUCUCUAAUACCCUCUCACAUAUUGUAACAAUAUCCCCAAAGGCCCCUCAACUUUUCGUCUCUUACACAGCCCUUACUGGGCGUUCUGCGCGCGGAGGGACCGGUCUCCCCGACCAGGGACCGGUCCCCGGGGCCUUCCCCCGCGGACACGCGUUCGGGAACCGGUCCCUCCCUGAGAGACCGGUCCUCGGGAGACCGGUUCCUCUCAGAGAGACCGGUUCCCGAGAGCUAUACUUUCGGGACUUAGCCGAUUUUCGGCUCUUCUCACUGAUGUCGCAGGCUGGGACCGGUCCCUCCUCUGCCAGGGACCGGUUGCAUCAGCAACCCCACAGCCUUCGGCUGAUGGGACCGGUCUCUCACCUCCAGAGACCGGUCCCCGAGAGCAACUUCAGUCCAAUAAUGCUAUUUGCAUUAUUUGCUCUCGCGGACUCCAUUCUAAUGCACUUCUCGAUUCUCGUGCAUCCUAAGCUUUUCCAAAGCUUAUCAACUCGACCAAUAGUCG
rnacentral:lncRNA from 1 species